rnacentral:rRNA from 1 species
ACAGAGGUCCCAAGCGUUGUUCGGAUUUACUGGGCGUAAAGGGUGCGUAGGCGGUCAUGCAAGUUUGAUGUGAAAUCUCCAGGCUUAACGUGGAAACUGCCUUGAAUACUGUGGUGCUAGAGGUUCGGAAGGGAGACUGGAAUUCUUGGUGUAGCAGUGAAAUGCGUAGAUAUCAAGAGGAACACCAGUGGCGAAGGCGAGUCUCUGGACAAGAUCUGACGCUGAGGCACGAAGGCUAGGGGAGCAAACAG